ACGGACUUUCUCCACUUGGGGCAUUCUGGUUAUUUCUUUCAAGUUAAUGAAGACCAGAUUCAUCAGCUGCAACCCCUUACCCCAAGAGAAAUCCUUUUAAGGAGACUCGACUGAGCUUAAAGGAGAAAUGAAAUUUUAACAGGAGGUCAAAUUUUGGCUCAAAGGAAUGAACCUCUUCUUUGAUACAUCGGUGAUCUCAUCUAUCCUAUCCAGUGGCAUGAAUUUUAACCACUGUUGUGCUGGAGCCAGCUGUUACCAACUUGGAAGGGCCAGUUGUUAAAUUUUCAGGGGUCUCUUUCUGUCACAGAAGAUCAGAUGACCUCCAAGCUCUUUUCCCAUCUACUGACCUCUGAUCUUCAGGGGACAGCCACUCAAUUGGAUUCAAACUGGAUCUCCAGGGACGCACUGAACAACGUUGAAUAUUGGGACACCUUGAGUGCCCACUGUGG